ACUCCUACGGGAGGCAGCAGUGGGGAAUAUUGGACAAUGGGGGAAACCCUGAUCCAGCCAUGCCGCGUGUGUGAAGAAGGCCUUCGGGUUGUAAAGCACUUUCAGUGGGGAGGAAAGGUUGAUGGUUAAUACCUAUCAGCUGUGACGUUACCCACAGAAGAAGCACCGGCUAACUCCGUGCCAGCAGCCGCGGUAAUACGGAGGGUGCGAGCGUUAUCCGGAUUUAUUGGGUUUAAAGGGUCCGUAGGCGGAUUAAUAAGUCAGUGGUGAAAUCCCAUCGCUUAACGAUGGAACUGCCAUUGAUACUGUUAGUCUUGAAUGAGGGUGCAGUGGUUGGAAUGUGUAGUGUAGCGGUGAAAUGCAUAGAUAUUACACAGAACACCGAUUGCGAAGGCAGAUCACUAACCCUAAAUUGACGCUGAGGGACGAAAGCGUGGGGGAGCGAACAGGAUUAGAUACCCUGUAGACUGUC
rnacentral:rRNA from 1 species